UACGAAGGGGGCUAGCGUUGUUCGGAAUUACUGGGCGUAAAGGGCGCGUAGGCGGCCCUCCAAGUCAGAUGUGAAAGCCCCGGGCUUAACCUGGGAAUUGCAUUUGAGACUGAAGGGCUUGAGUUUCGGAGAGGUGGGUGGAAUUCCCAGUGUAGAGGUGAAAUUCGGUAGAUAUUGGGAAGAACACCGGUGGCGAAGGCGGCCCACUGGACGGAACACUGA
rnacentral:rRNA from 1 species